rnacentral:rRNA from 1 species
GUAGGGAAUAUUGGACAAUGGACGCAAGUCUGAUCCAGCCAUGCCGCGUGAAGGAUUAAGGUCCUCUGGAUUGUAAACUUCUUUUAUAAGGGACGAAAAAAGGCUUUUCUAAGUCGUCUGACGGUACCUUAUGAAUAAGCACCGGCUAACUCCGUGCCAGCAGCCGCGGUAAUACGGAGGGUGCAAGCGUUAUCCGGAUUCACUGGGUUUAAAGGGUGCGUAGGCGGGCAGGUAAGUCAGUGGUGAAAUCCUAGAGCUUAACUCUAGAACUGCCAUUGAUACUAUCUGUCUUGAAUAUUGUGGAGGUAAGCGGAAUAUGUCAUGUAGCGGUGAAAUGCUUAGAUAUGACAUAGAACACCUAUUGCGAAGGCAGCUUACUACGCAUAUAUUGACGCUGAGGCACGAAAGCGUGGGGAUCAAACAGGAUUAGAUACCCCGGUAGUCC